AUAAAAACCCCAUCCUCUAGGCUGCUUCCAAACACUUCUCUGCAUUCCUGCUUCUUAGAGAACUAGGUAAGUCCACUUGGGUUCUGAGAAAGCGGGCACAUUUUCUGAAUGUACAAAUUUUCUAGGAUGCACAUUUUCUAGGUUAACAAAGGUUAUGCAGGUGAAUGUCAGUUGUUGCUAAUUUUCAAGGGUAGAUUGCACUGCUAUGUGAGGUUUUCAAGCAAGUGCACUUGAAUUGUGUGUGUGUCUGCAUUAUGCUGGGCUGGAGCACUUUGGUGGGGAAAACUUCUCUGGGGUUUACAGUAAAGGUGAGGAACCUAUGGACUCCAGCACUCCAACAUCACCAACAGGUACAAUAGUCAAGGAUGAUGGGAGCAGCAAUCCAGAAACUUCUGGAGGACUAAAGACUCCUAACCACUGAUUUAUAUUCUUAGAUGAGAUAAUUGAUUGAAGUUUAUCAUUGGGAUAGAUGGUCCAAAUGAACGAUAACUUCCUUUUUGCUGGAACUCACAAGCUUUGCAGUAACAGGAGCAGUAGUGGUAGCAGUUGUUGCCUUCUACAUAGCUCUACCAUGAAGCUGUGAGUCCCACCAAGAGGAAACUACCAGGCCCUUGGACUAUCUAUCCAAAAAUGUGUCAGGUUUCCUGGUGUCAGCCUGAAGUAUUUCCUAUUCUUUCUAUGAUAGGUCCUUUAAACUGAUACCACCACUAUUUAGACCUGGGACCUUCUGCGCUUUCUCAUUUGGUUACAGGAAUUGCUUAUAUAGAGCCAGAAGACUGGCUCAUUUAAAUUGUAGAGUUGGAGGAAGCCAUGUAGAUUUUCAAGACCAACUUUCUGCUCAAUGAGGAAAAUCCAAAUCUUGAUAAUCCAGAAUAUAUUACUGCCCAGUAUAUGCUUGAAGACCUCUAGAGUGGAAGAACCCUUCCACUACCCUUCUGCUUGUACCAGUAAUGGAACCUAGAGUUUUUCCCUCAUUAAAGUUAGAGGGUUUUAUUCAAUGAAGUCCAGCUCAUUAUAUAUCCAUCAAAAUUAAUGAAUCUAACUUGGCCAUGUUUGUUACCUUCAAUGGGCCUACUCUGAGUAAGCCUAGCAUUGUAUUCCCCCCUCUCCCAUAAGGUGGACAGCUAUCUCUUGGGAAAGCUCUUCCUUUAUCCCAGUGUUCUCCAAGGUCUCAGGUUGAUGACUUUUCAAAAUCAGCUGAUAUCCAUUUUAACUAGAGGUGGUUAUGGUAUUCUAACCCACAGGAGGCAAUGAUGGCCACCCAUCUGGAUGGCUUUAAAAUUCAUGGCAGAUAAGGCUGUCAGUGACUUCAAGCCACAAUGGCCAUGUUCUGUUUCAAAUGUCAGGGGCAGUAAUGCUUCUGAAUAUCCGUUGCUGGGAACCACAGAAGGCAAGAGUGGUUUGUGCUCAGUUGCUGAUUGAGGGCUUCCCAUGGGGGCAUCUGGGUGGCCUUUGUGAGAACAGGAUGAUGGACCAGAUGGGACAUUAUCAUGAUACAGCAGACUCUUCUUAUGUUCUUUUGUUCUUUUGUUCUCAUGUUCUUAUUCUGAUGGUCUCACCCAGCAAAACCAAGACUCCCUAAACUCUUCAGCUCCAUGAAUCACUACCCUACGGGGAAAUACCACAGUAUUUGAGACUUUAGCUUACAGAAAAUGAGGUAGUAUACAACCAUUGUAGGCUUUGAUAGCUUUAUCCACAGUUGAUUUGGGGGAAAGGCUAUAGCUCAGUGGGAGAACAUCCGCCAUUCUAGCAGAAGGUCUCUGUUUCAGUCCCUGGCAUCUCUGGGUAGGAGAGACCCCUGUCUGAACUCCUGGAGAGCCACUGGCAGUCAAUGAGCACAAAGCCAAGCUGAACGGAACAUUGGUCUGAUUUGGUAUAGGACAGUUUUGUAUGUGCCUGGAUAUAAACCGCCUGUAAAGCCUGUAAAGUUGGUGAUCAAUCCCUAACAAUAUGCUGUGUGACAGAGAACUUCCUUUUUCUCUGUGCUGAAUCUUCUGCAAUUCAGCUUCAUUGAAUGGCAGCAAUUUUUUAUUUAUUUAUUUUUUUACUAUGGAAGGGGGAGAAUAAAAAAAAUCCCUCUAUUGACUCCAUGGAUAUAUAUAUCCCAUGGUAUGGAACUAGAUGGCCUUUUGGCGUCUUAUUGAGCUCUUUACUAUUGUUAAUAUCAAACUUGUGCUCUCCAUUGGGAACUCUGCAUGAUGCUGACUCCAUGUUCUUUCAGGUCCACCUCUGAACCUCAAAGAUGUCUGCUGGCCGUGGUGGAUGGAAUAACCAAUGCUAUGCCCAGUGCCCCCCAUCAACAGUGACCAUCCGGCCACCACCUUUUGUCCUGACCAUCCCAGGGCCAGCUCUCUGUUGCCCUGACCAGGCUUUUCGCAUCGAGCAGUACAACCCAUGUGCUUACGGAUAUGGCGGCGGCAGAUCUUCUCUGUAUGCCAGUGGUGGUUCCAACAUGUCCUCGUUCUAUACCCAGGCCCUGCCAAGCAACACAUGUAACAGUGGUAACUGCUGGCUUUAAAUCAAGACCAAAGUGAAAGAUCCAAGGAAGAACGAUGGAGAAAACAAGAAGAGCUAGAUCAGCUUCCACAAUUCCCACCUGAAAUGUUGAACAUCCACAACGCAUGGAUUUUUCCUUAUGUCUAUAUCUGUUUUGCCUAUUGCAGUUGUAUUUAAAAUCCUUGUAUACUGCUCUUACUGUCUGCUGACAACUUGAUCUUAGCAACAGGUUGAGAAUUGUGUGCAUCCAAUACUUCGUUUCACAUCGUAUUUGCACUUCUGACUGGGUUAUUCCUAUUUGCUUUCAUAUUAAAAUUUGAAUUGCAUCCAAAA